rnacentral:misc_RNA from 1 species
GCCUGGGAUAUGCGCCGCAAGAUGUUCCGCGCCGGUGUCGCGCUUUUCCGCCGGCAUGUACCAGGAAGCAUCGACGAUCUUGAGGCCCGGCUCUCCCAGACGCGAGGAGAGCGACUCGACGGUGAUGAGCGGCGACAUGGCGUCCUCCUUGUGGAUGCAUCCAUCUUUAGCCCAGCAAGUUUCAUCUGGGAAUCGCUGCUGGCGACGUCGCACCUGCGCUGCACCAUGUCGCAAGGAGGGGAUUGUGGCAGAAGCCUCAGACAUUGCCGCCUCUACCGAACCAUGCCGCAUCGAGCUCUUCGGUGUUCCCACGGAUGCGGGUGCGGGAACACGAGGAUCGAGCAUCGGACCGGCCGCACUGAGGAUCGCGGGACUUCUCGAGACCCUGCAGGAUCU